rnacentral:rRNA from 1 species
GGGGAAUAUUGCACAAUGGGCGCAAGCCUGAUGCAGCGACGCCGCGUGAGGGAUGACGGCCUUCGGGUUGUAAACCUCUUUCAGCAGGGAAGAAGCGCAAGUGACGGUACCUGCAGAAGAAGCGCCGGCUAACUACGUGCCAGCAGCCGCGGUAAUACGUAGGCAGCAAGCGUUGUUCGGAGUUACUGGGCGUAAAGAGUGCGUAGGCGGUUUUCUAAGUUCGGUGUGAAAUCUCCCGGCUUAACUGGGAGGGUGCGCCGAAGACUGGGAAGCUGGAGUGUGGGAAAGGCAGGCGGAACUCCUGGUGUAGCGGUGAAAUGCGUAGAUAUCAGGAGGAACACCGGCGGUGUAGACGGCUUGCUAGACCAUAACUGACGCUGAGGCACGAAAGCGUGGGUAGCAAACA